rnacentral:tRNA from 1 species
GGGGAUAUAGUUUAAUUUUAGGAAAAACAUAUAAUUUGCAUUUAUAAGUUAUUGGUUCAAGUCCAAUUAUUUCCA